rnacentral:lncRNA from 10 species
UAGGCUCAAGCAAUCCUACUGCCUCAGCCUCCCGAAGUGCUGGGAUUGCAGGUAUGAGCCACCAUGCCUGGCCCCAGAAAUAUUCUGAACGGAUCUCUGCAAAGUCAGCAAAUCAACAUGGAAUUCAGAUCUAUGGAGCCUUUGAUUCACUUUGGGGGAUACGGGCGAAGAGAAUUAUAAUAAUACUGCGGCAGCCUAAGUGUUGAAUAAUCUAAGAGAUUUUUUAUUUAUUUAGCAGAAAGCAUAGAG